rnacentral:rRNA from 1 species
GACGAACGCUGGCGGCGUGCCUAAUACAUGCAAGUCGAACGCUGCUUAAGAAGAAACUUCGGUUUUUUCUUAAGCGGAGUGGCGGACGGGUGAGUAACACGUGGGGAACCUAUCUAUCAGCGGGGGAUAACACUUGGAAACAGGUGCUAAUACCGCAUAUGGCUUUUUUUCACCUGAAAGAAAGCUCAAAGGCGCUUUACAGCGUCACUGAUGGCUGGUCCCGCGGUGCAUUAGCCAGUUGGUGAGGUAACGGCUCACCAAAGCAACGAUGCAUAGCCGACCUGAGAGGGUGAUCGGCCACACUGGGACUGAGACACGGCCCAGACUCCUACGGGAGGCAGCAGUAGGGAAUCUUCGGCAAUGGACGCAAGUCUGACCGAGCAACGCCGCGUGAGUGAAGAAGGUUUUCGGAUCGUAAAGCUCUGUUGUCAGCAAAGAACAGGAGAAAGAGGAAAUGCUUUUUCUAUGACGGUAGCUGACCAGAAAGCCACGGCUAACUACGUGCCAGCAGCCGCGGUAAUACGUAGGUGGCAAGCGUUGUCCGGAUUUAUUGGGCGUAAAGCGAGCGCAGGCGGUGAUUUAAGUCUGAUGUGAGAGCCCCCAGCUCAACUGGGGAGGGUCAUUGGAAACUGGAUCACUUGAGUGCAGAAGAGGAGAGUGGAAUUCCAUGUGUAGCGGUGAAAUGCGUAGAUAUAUGGAGGAACACCAGUGGCGAAGGCAGCUCUCUGGUCUGUAACUGACGCUGAGACUCGAAAGCGUGGGUAGCAAACAGGAUUAGAUACCCUGGUAGUCCACGCCGUAAACGAUGAGUGCUAAGUGUUGGAGGGUUUCCGCCCUUCAGUGCUGCAGUUAACGCAUUAAGCACUCCGCCUGGGGAGUACGACCGCAAGGUUGAAGCUCAAAGGAAUUGACGGGGGCCCGCACAAG